CACGUAGGCACCAAGCGUUGUCCGGAUUUAUUGGGCGUAAAGAGCUCGUAGGCGGUUCGAUAAGUCGGGUGUGAAACUUUGGGCUCAACCCAAAGCGUGCAUUCGAUACUGUUGUGACUAGAGUUCGGUAGGGAGUGGGGAAUUCUAGUGUAGCGGUGAAUGACGCAGAUAUUAGGAGGAACAACCGGUGGCGAAGGCGCCA
rnacentral:rRNA from 1 species